AACGAACGCUGGCGGCAUGCCUAACACAUGCAAGUCGAACGAGAACAUCGGGUAUAGUGGCGCACGGCUGCGUAAUGCCUGGGAACCUGCCCUUAGGUUCGGAAUAACUUCACGGAGGGGGUGCUAAUACCGGAAAAUGUCUUAGGACCAAAGAUUUGUCGCGUUUGGAUGGGCCCGCGUUGGAUUAGCUUGUUGGUAGGGUAAACGCCUACCAAGGCGACGAUUAGUAGCUGGUCUGAGAGGAAGAUCAGACACACUGGGACUGAGACACGGCCCAGACUCCUGCGGGAGGCAGCAGAGGGGAAUAUAGGACAGUGGGCGGAAGCCUGAUCGAGCAAUGCCGGGUGAGUGAUGAAAGCCGUGGGGUUGUAAAGCACGUUUACCCGGGAUGAUAAUGACAUUACCGGGAGAAUAAGCUCCGGCUAACUCCGUG
rnacentral:rRNA from 1 species